rnacentral:pre_miRNA from 1 species
UGGACAAAUUAUUAUAUUCGACUGUAUUCACAACGUGAAAUAGGGGAUUACACUAUAUUUAAAACGGAAAGUAAAUCAAUUAACAUAAUAGACUCCU